GCUAAUACCGGAUGUGCCGAAAGGUGCAAGGCUUGCUGCCUGAAGAAGAGCUCGCGUCUGAUUAGCUAGUUGGUGGUGUAAAGGACUACCAAGGCGACGAUCAGUAGCUGGUCUGAGAGGAUGAUCAGCCACACUGGGACUGAGACACGGCCCAGACUCCUACGGGAGGCAGCAGUGGGGAAUUUUCCGCAAUGGGCGAAAGCCUGACGGAGCAAUACCGCGUGAGGGAGGAAGGCUCUUGGGUUGUAAACCUCUUUUCUCAGGGAAUAAGAUAUGACGGUACCUGAGGAAUAAGCAUCGGCUAACUCCGUGCCAGCAGCCGCGGUAAUACGGAGGAUGCAAGCGUUAUCCGGAAUUAUUGGGCGUAAAGCGUCCGCAGGUGGUUUGUUAAGUCUGUUGUUAAAGAAUGGGGCUUAACUUCCUUCAAGGGGUGGAA
rnacentral:rRNA from 1 species